rnacentral:rRNA from 1 species
UACGUAGGUGGCAAGCGAUACUCGGAAUCACUAGGCGUAAAGCGCAGGUAGGAGGUUUGGUAAGUCUGUUGUGAAAGCUCCCGGCUUAACUGGGAGAGGUCAACGGAAACUACCAGGCUAGAGUGCGGUAGAGGUAGCUGGAAUUCCCGGUGUAGCGGUGAAAUGCGUAGAUAUCGGGAGGAAUACCUAUGGCGAAAGCAGGCUACUGGACCGUCACUGACUCUGAGGCGCGAAAGCGUGGGGAGCAAACAGG